UACCAAAUUGCUUUUACACCCCAUACCCUCAGUCUCAUUAAGUGAAGCUUUGAAAUGACAAUUUACCCUUUUGAGUAAACCGCAUCUCCAUCCUCUUUGACAUUAACCCAUUAAUACCCAUCACCUUCACCGUAGGAUUGAGUGGAGGAAAACCCUUUCUCCCCUUCUCUCCUUCUCCAUCCCUAGAACUGUAUAUUCGCCGCCGAGAACUGCUCAAGGAGGCGAGGAAUCAAGGCGGGAAUAGCACCGGAUUCCCCAGUGAGAGCUCGAUUUUCAGAUCUAAUCUUAGUGAGAAAAUGUAGCUUCUUUACAGCCGAGCUUUUGACAGAGUUGGAAGACGACUAGAGACCUUCCAUGCAUUUCUUCAGGGCUGUUUCAAGAUUUUCCGGAGGUGCUUUGUCGAGGAUUUCCGAGGAGAGGUUCUCACGUUGGUAACCCUGACCAACGUGGGGUUGCGUGGCCUUCCACUCUCCACAACGAGCUCUCUGAGUCUGAAAUCCAGAAUGGAUUCCGACAAGUACUAAGAGACGGCGGCAUCGCCGGUUUAUAGCCACUCGCCGCCGGUUUGUAGCCGCGAAGAAGCAAGCACCAGUCACGGAGAGUAAUCGCUAUUCCCUUCACAACGAGAACUGAGAUAUGGGAGUGAAAAGAGUUCAGUGUUGAAUUGGGUUUAGGGGGUUUAAGCGAGGGUAUAAUAGGUACUUCAUCAUUUGGAAGGGUAUUUUGGUAUUUAGAAAAAAUGAAUCAGCUGAUGUCAGCAUUAAGGUAUAUUCUGUAAUAGAGAUUGUCGAUAGGGGGUGUGAAUGCAAUUUGAUAUUAAGCAGAGGUGUCCCUCUAAUACUCUUAACUGUUGCAUAGAUGAAAUUCAUUCCCUUCU